AUACGGAGGGUGCAAGCGUUACUCGGAAUCACUGGGCGUAAAGCGCGCGCAGGCGGUCUUUUAAGUUGGAUGUGAAAGCCUACGGCUCAACCGUAGAACUGCAUCCAAAACUAUUAGACUAGAGUGUGGGAGAGGAAGAUGGAAUUAGUUGUGUAGGGGUAAAAUCCGUAGAGAUAACUAGGAAUACCAAAAGCGAAGGCAAUCUUCUGGAACACUACUGACGCUGCGGCGCGAAAGCGUGGGGAGCAAACAGGAUUAGAAACCCUUGUAGUCC
rnacentral:rRNA from 1 species